rnacentral:rRNA from 1 species
UUGUAGGCUGCAACUCGCCUACAUGAAGUCGGAAUCGCUAGUAAUCGCGGAUCAGCAUGCCGCGGUGAAUACGUUCCCGGGCCUUGUACACACCGCCCGUCACACCAUGAGAGUUUGUAACACCCAAAGCCGGUGGGGUAACCUUUUGGAGCCAGCCGUCUAAGGUGGGACAGAUGAUUGGGGUGAAGUCGUAACAAGGUAGC